AUGGCCAACCCGGGUCAAAGUGUAGUAUCUAUUCUUAUGAGCUGAAUAUCUGAUACGGGUUGUAUUUGGAUCCAAGAUAUGAAACUUACUUUUGCAAGUUGGCUGAGUGUUUGAAGUCUGCUUCACCUCUGCCGCGGGUCGGUCCGGUAUUGCACUAUCUUCAGAAUUUUCGGUGUACAGACA